rnacentral:miRNA from 1 species
GUAUACAUACGUUAUGUAUAAAUGUAUAGACAUAUACAUAUGUAUGUAUCACAUAUUCUUGACCCUGUCAUCUGUGAUUGG